CGUGGGUAACCUGCCCAAGAGAUCGGGAUAACACCUGGAAACAGAUGCUAAUACCGGAUAACAACAGAUGAUGCCUAUCAACUGUUUAAAAGAUGGUUCUGCUAUCACUCUUGGAUGGACCUGCGGUGCAUUAGCUAGUCGGUAGGGUAACGGCCUACCAAGGCGAUGAUGCAUAGCCGAGUUGAGAGACUGAUCGGCCACAUUGGGACUGAGACACGGCCCAAACUCCGUACGGGAGGCAGCAGUA
rnacentral:rRNA from 1 species